AUUUCAAAAAACAUUUAUUUACUUUGAAGCCUACACUGUAAGACCGAAUAGUAAUCGUUUGAUAAAUGAAAUGAGUUCCAACUACUUAAAAACCUGUUAUAAGUUAAUACACCUUUAUUUUUUUGAGUAGUUUGAACAAGUUUGUUUUUUCAAGUUAUCAGUACUUGAAUAUAUUGAUUAGUUUCUGACAUUGCCCUCAAAUAAUUUGAGUUUUAAGACUGACGUCACUUACGUGCCUACGUACGUACGUACUUUCAUGCACCACCUGUUUCUUUAUGAAGUGCUGGCAACCAUCUUGGAUUCAUCGCUUGGAGUGCGAAUGCCCGCUCAUUACCACGAAAGAAACUUGUGGAACGUUAAUAUCCGAACAGAAAUAAAAACAUUUGUGAAGGUUUUUUUUUUUUGCGCUGCAUUGCCUUUGACGCUGGAUAAAGGAGGACGUGCUGUGGUAUUUUACGGACUUUUGAACUGGAACAGCUAACGCUCUGCACUUGGCUAGCUGCAUUUACCGCCUUUGCAGCAAUUUUGUCUUCAGGAGCACUUUUGUGAUCUGUGCAGAAUUCCACAGGAUUACGAACCUCGACCUGAAGAACCACUUUUAUGAUGUGUUGGACCAACAUGCUCCCCGGCUCCAGAGCUUAUUCAGAAAGAAAGCUGUUUGCACAGGGACCGUAUCUGAUGUCCUGUCUCAGCUCUUCAGAAGCUAUAAUCUCCAGGAACAAGCUGAUAUCCAUGCCCAACGUGCUGGUGUGCUUCAUGCCCUCCCUGCCUAUUUGUACGAAGACACCUCUACCUUCAUCAAAACUUGGGAUGCUUUGCCAUCAUAAAUUGAUCAGUUUACAACCAGCAACCGGACACCUAAACCUCAGAGGCCACCUCAGACGACAUCCAGGGGCAGUGUGAACAAACACGUCUUUAAAUGGGAUGCAAGAUGGAUUAUAGAGGGCCACCCCCUCGCCAGACAACCAAGUGCUGUCCCUGUCAACAGCCAGUGUGAGAAAGACUCGCUAAAGUCAACCCACACAAAGCUGCUGGACCAGACAAGUCGGACGUGUGCUCAGAGCCUGUGCUGACCAAAGACAGCUACAGCCCCAGAGCUCAAAGACUACUGUCCAGUAGCACUUACUCCAAUCAUCAUGAAGUGCUUCAAGCGACUCGUCCUGACUUACAUCAAGAACCAGCCCCCCAAACUGGACCCACAGUUUGCAUACAACUUGUACCAAUUAACGGACGAUGCGAUCUCAUUGGCUCUCCACCUAGCCCUAUCACACCUGGGUCAAUGCCCAGAGGAUUAUGCGGACCAAAGAGCACGCUAUUGGCAGCUCUCCACCCAGUCUACAGGAUAUUUACACCUGCAUUGGGAAAGCCACUAGAAUCAUAGCUGACCCGCAUUACCCCUCCCACCAACUGUUUACUCCUGUUCCAUCCAGAAGACGACUCUGCGGCAUCAGGAGCAGGUCGCCGUGAUUGUCCAAUAGCAUUUUCCCCCCAGCAGUCUGGCUCCUGAACACCAUGCUGCCCUCCUCCACACUGGACUCUCUUCACCACACACUUCUUGGACUACAUAACACUCUCCUCUAACUCCCAAUACUUGCACUAUUCUGUAUUGCACUGUUUGACUCUGUCUGUGUAUUGUAUUUAUUCUGUGUACUAUUGUAUUUCUUUAUUCUCAUUCUCAUUGUUUUCUAUUUUUACUCUUUAUUCAAGUACAAUAUUAUUGUACUUUUAGUUUAUCUUAUUUCUGUAUAGAUGUAUGUAUGUAUGUAUGUAUGUAUAUUUGAAUUUUUUCAUUUUUAUUUUUUCGUUUUAUUUUUACAGUGUGGACCUUUGAUCCAGAAGGACCACAUUUUGUCCCACUGUAUACUUGAGUGCAUAUUGUUGGGUUGAUAAUAAAACUGUACCUGACUUGUCUUAAAGUUGCUGCUAACUGCUGGUUCUGUAAACAACUCAAUCAUAGAAUGAUUGCCACAUCAAACUAAAAGAAAUGCCUGAAUCCUAAAUUAUGGAUGUCCUAUUGUGGUGAUCUAAAAUGUAACACUAAAUGUAAUUCUGAAUGUUUUCUUUUGUGUAUUUUCUUUUACAUCCUAAAAAUAAAAAUAAAUCAAAACCAUGAUCAACUUGAGGACU